UACGGGGGGGGCAAGCGUUGUUCGGAAUUACUGGGCGUAAAGGGCUCGUAGGUGGCCAACUAAGUCAGACGUGAAAUCCCUCGGCUUAACCGGGGAACUGCGUCCGAUACUGAAAGGCUUGAAUCCGGGAGAGGGAUGUGGAAUUCCAGGUGUAGCGGUGAAAUGCGUAGAUAUCUGGAGGAACACCGGUGGCGAAGGCGGCAUCCUGGACCGGUAUUGACGCUGAGGCGCGAAAGCUAGGGGAGCAAACGGG
rnacentral:rRNA from 1 species